GCCGGGCGCGAUGGCUCACGCCUGUAAUCCCAACACUCUGGGAGGCCGAGGCGGGCAGAUCACCUGAGGUCAGGAGUUCAAGACCAGCCUGACCAACAUGGUGAAACCCCGUCUCUA
ensembl:misc_RNA Metazoa_SRP Metazoan signal recognition particle RNA